GGAAUGUCAUCCUUCACCUCCCAGCUGUGCUGCCGUCUGCUUGCUUGUAGCCUUUUCUCCCACAGCAGCGGAGCCAGGGGGUAGCACAGGGCAAACAAAGAGCCUGGUGUUCCUUAUGGACGGGAAAUGCCCAUCCUGAUUUCUUCUGGGAAGCUGCUUCUUACGGGAGACGAAGGGCUGGGAGCAGGUUCCUUGCUGGCCAGCAAAAUGCGUUGGGAUAAUUGCUCGCCGCAUGAGCGGAAUGGAUGUCUGCAGAGCCCCGUCCCCAGGCUGUGAUGUAGCGCAGCGCGCCUUGCUUCGUUUUUAUCGCCUGCGCGCCUCUGCGCAGAUCAACAUGCCGAUAGCGGUGCCGGUAAUUGCACAGCUCUGCCUCGUGAGCUUCUGAAGUUCUGUUACGACAAUGGCCUCUUUUCUCCUUAGAAAUUGGACUGAUGCAGAUAAUGGAAGAAGAAUGAGUCGAGCUCCGCUCAGAACAGCGCUCUUGAAACAGAACUUCAAGGACCGGGUUUCCUUUUGUAAAGGCAAAGCCUCUUGAAUCGCUGUGCUGAAAGAUGGUAUAUUUAGAGCUCGGUUUCCAUAGAUGCUGAGCAGUCUGGAUUCCCACCCCAGCUGAAGCAAGUGCUUAUUUUCAGCAAACCUCUGCAGCACAACAGUUCUCCGCCCCCCAGACCUCGGAUGUGUCUCUGCAAGGACUCCUUCAUUUGAUAGCUCUUAUCGUCACCGAUGUUCCCACUUUGCUGCACAAUGGAUAGCUCUCUGCCAACCCUGAACCCUAACUCUCUGAUCAGUGGCUGCAGCCAUUGCUUCUUUUUCUUUCGGAGUAGUUUCACUCCUUGGCCAAACCAGGGUGUUUCCACGCUUGUUCGGUGAGCAGAAAUCCCGUGAAAAACAGAUAUUUCAUAACGUCAGACUUGGAUUUGUAUUUGAUCCUUCUGCCCAUCUCUCCAGGCUGAGUUUUUCCAGGGGAGAGUGUCUGAAUCCUAAGAGCUCACACCAAGGAAACCCCUACAUCAGAGAAUCCCCCCUUCAUUGUAAAGACACCAGAGCCUGCGAAGUGCGUUAUGAAAAAGAAUAGCUGAGAGCUAAAUACCCAUUAAUAACAUUUGUGAGCCUGCCAGGCAGCGUUUCUGAGAACAGCAUGUCCUGGAACGUCCCAGUUCACAGCAGAGCUGGAGUUGGGAAAUUACUGAAACUGCGUCUUUGUAGAGCCCUGUUGUGUCAUGUUUGCUCUCCUGUUUGAUGCUGAACAGAAAUACAAGCCAGGAUGCUCAGCAGCUCCGCUCUGGCUCGCUGUUGCAGCCCGUUGGCAUUUGCAUGUGCCAUGCAUUUCCCUACCUACCAUCAGAGCAGCCAAAGAAACUUGCUUUUUCACUGCUGUGUCAUAUAAAAUCUUUUCUUUGCUCGGGAAA